UGGCUGACGGUGGGGGAGCUAGAUUAUGGAUGUUUUGAAAUGGGGAAACACCGAAGCAGCUUCCUCAACUCCCUCCCAAAACUGCAAAUUCUUAUUAUAAAGAGUGGGGAAAGCGGAAAGAAAUGGUGCAGUAAUGAUGGUCGGUGGAUGUGUGGAUAGGGAGGAUUAUUUCCACGAGUCGAGAGGUCGAAUGAGCAUUGAAAACAAGGAACCGUCUUUCCUUUUCCUGCUCUCGCCGAUCGAUACAAGCUCUUCUGAAAACGCAUAAACGACGGGGAAUGCAAAACGCCAUCACCUCCAUCUUCUUCUUCUUCAAUCUUCAUGCAGGAGGUUGCCGGAAAAUACACAGAGACGUCGUAGAGACGACAGAUAAUGCCAUUAAACCAUUAACCCUAAGAAAGAACGGAAGGAAAAAAGGAGACAAACCGAGAAACGGUAGAGAUCUAUGAUCCUUCUGUGAAGUACUAAACGAUCACAUUUAUUUUUCUCCUUUGGGCGAAUACAAAUGUGGCUGUGAACGAUUUGAUAGACGGCCACAAGGGGCCCCGCGGGGCGGUGUUAAAGUUGAUGUGAAUCUGUCUACCCAACACGUAGUAUCAAGUCUCAAUGGCUCGGUUGUCACUUUGGUCCUCGUUUUUCCUUCCCAGUCCUAGUUCGUUUCCGUUGCAGCUUCAUCAGAGACUUGGUUGUUCCUCUUUCAGAGUUCAAGCUUCUUCUUCUUCUUCAUUUGGUGCGUUUUCUACUCAGAAGCCGAAGGUCGUCGUUACGAGAGAACGUGGCAAGAAUGAGAAACUCAUUACUACUCUGGACAAACAUGGUGUUAACUGCUUGGAACUUCCUCUCAUCCAGCACAUAAAAGGGCCUGAUUUUGAUAGGCUUUCUACGGUCUUAAGUGACAUUUCAUUUGACUGGAUUGUUAUAACUUCUCCAGAAGCAGGCAUAGUGUUCCUUGAAGCUUGGAAGGUUGCUGGGACCCCAAAAGUUCGGGUGGGUGUAGUUGGUGCUGGUACAGCAAGCAUCUUCAAGGAAGUAAUGCAUUCUGACCAGCAAUCUCUGACUGUUGCCUUUUCACCAUCAAAAGGGUUUGGAAACUGCAAUUCAGCAACAGGAAAGGUUUUGGCUGUAGAACUUCCCAAGCAAGGGGAUGGAACAUGCACUGUCCUAUAUCCUGCUUCAAUGAAGGCUGGUUGUGAGCUUGAGGAAGGUCUAUCGAAUCGUGGUUUUGUGGUCACAAGGCUUAAUACAUACUCCACGGUGCCUGUUCCCCAUGUAGACCAAACAAUAUUAGUGCAAGCACUUUCUGCUCCAGUUGUUGCAGUAGCUUCCCCUUCAGCAGUUAGGGCUUGGAUGAAUCUUAUUUCAGCACCAGGGAAGUGGAAUAAUUCUGUUGCCUGCAUUGGUGAGACUACUGCUUUAGCUGCAAAAAGUUUAGGCUUGAAGAAUGUGUACUAUCCUACAAAUCCUGGUCUUGAAGGGUUUUUUCAGUGUCUGCUUUCUGGAGAGAGUUGAAAGAACAAUAUGCGUGGGUUGACAGUAUCCUAGAAGCCUUGAUAGUCCAUGAUCAAUCCCAGAAGGCUGUUGUUUGUUGACGAGGAACAAACAAGUGCAGGAACAAGUGCAGCACUAAAUAAAGGCAUGCACUUUUAGCUUUGCCAAUGCUUGGGAGCAUCUAUCAUUCUACAUGACCAGAACAAUGCAAGAGUUGGGAGGUUUGUGAGUGGGUGUAACCUGCCGCGGCAAUCACGUUCCUUCAAUAGCCCCUCUUUUUGUGCUCAAGUGGGCACUAAGCCAGAAAACCCUUGUGAUGAUCGGCAAUCCGUCAAUUCAGUACCAGAGGUGAAGAGACUGUCCAAAAUUUUAUUGUGAAUAUCCAACCCUGUAAAUAAUUCCGUCUUGAUCUUGAACUAACGCCAGCAUGCUAGAUUGGAGGUCAUUCUUGUUUUGACUAGCAGAUCUAGCAACCUGGAUUCUUGUCCCCAAUAUUUUUCAGUUAUCGGUCCAAUGUUUGAAACAAGGUUUAAUUCUUUCCAUAUGAUAAAGAAAGCAGAUAUGACCAUAAUUUGCUA